CAGUAACGGCGAGUGAAGCGGCAAGAGCUCAAAUUUGAAAGCUGGCCCCUUCGGGGUCCGCGUUGUAAUUUGCAGAGGAUGCUUCGGGUGCAGCCCCCGUCUAAGUGCCCUGGAACGGGCCGUCAUAGAGGGUGAGAAUCCCGUCUGGGACGGGGUGUCUGCGUCCGUGUGAAGCUCCUUCGACGAGUCGAGUUGUUUGGGAAUGCAGCUCUAAAUGGGUGGUAAAUUUCAUCUAAAGCUAAAUACUGGCCGGAGACCGAUAGCGCACAAGUAGAGUGAUCGAAAGAUGAAAAGCACUUUGAAAAGAGAGUUAAACAGCACGUGAAAUUGUUGAAAGGGAAGCGUUUGCGACCAGACUCGCCCGCGGGGUUCAGCCGGCAUUCGUGCCGGUGUACUUCCCCGUGGGCGGGCCAGCGUCGGUUUGGGCGGCCGGUCAAAGGCCCUCGGAAUGUAUCACCUCUCGGGGUGUCUUAUAGCCGAGGGUGCAAUGCGGCCUGCCUGGACCGAGGGACGCGCUUCGGCUCGGACGCUGGCGUAAUGGUCGUAAAUGA
rnacentral:rRNA from 1 species